rnacentral:ncRNA from 1 species
AUUUUGCUACUUGAGUCCAUCAGACUUUCAAAAGUACAAUAAAAAGAGUGCGCCCUUUCUUACUGAACUUUAAUACUCUAUAGAGUUUUUGAGUGAUGCAGGAUGGCAUGAACAAAUCCAUUUUUUCACAUCAACCAUCAAUAAAGAUCAAUCGGUUCUCCCUCCAAAAAAAUUUACAAUUUCAUCUGUUCUUUGGUUGAAUUGGCAUUAAUAUAUCGUUAUACAUGGUAUCAUUUAUUGUUGCGCAAGUGGCGAUGGUUCAUUCAAAUCUCUGCCCUAUCAACUUUCGAUGGUAGGAUAGUGGCCUACCAUGGUUUCAGCGGGUAACGGGGAAUAAGGGCUCGAUUCCGGAGAGGGAGCCUGAGAAACGGCUACCACAUCCAAGGAAGGCAGCAGGCGCGCAAAUUACCCAAUCCUAAUUCAGGGAGGUAGUGACAAUAAAUAACGAUGCAGGGCCCAUUCGGGUCUUGUAAUUGGAAUGAGUACAAUGUAAAUACCUUAACGAGGAACAAUUGGAGGGCAAGUCUGGUGGUGGUGGUGAGACAAUAGUUAAUUUUUAUUGUUCCAU